rnacentral:rRNA from 1 species
UAAACGAUGAGUGCUAAGUGUUGGAGGGUUUCCGCCCUUCAGUGCUGCAGCAAACGCAUUAAGCACUCCGCCUGGGGAGUACGACCGCAAGGUUGAAACUCAAAGGAAUUGACGGGGGCCCGCACAAGCGGUGGAGCAUGUGGUUUAAUUCGAAGCAACGCGAAGAACCUUACCAGGUCUUGACAUCCUUUGACCACUCUAGAGAUAGAGCUUUCCCUUCGGGGACAAAGUGACAGGUGGUGCAUGGUUGUCGUCAGCUCGUGUCGUGAGAUGUUGGGUUAAGUCCCGCAACGAGCGCAACCCUUAUUGUUAGUUGCCAUCAUUUAGUUGGGCACUCUAGCGAGACUGCCGGUGACAAACCGGAGGAAGGUGGGGAUGACGUCAAAUCAUCAUGCCCCUUAUGACCUGGGCUACACACGUGCUACAAUGGGAAGUACAACGAGUCGCUAGACCGCGAGGUCAUGCAAAUCUCUUAAAGCUUCUCUCAGUUCGGAUUGCAGGCUGCAACUCGCCUGCAUGAAGCCGGAAUCGCUAGUAAUCGCGGAUCAGCACGCCGCGGUGAAUACGUUCCCGGGCCUUGUACACACCGCCCGUCACACCACGAGAGUUUGUAACACCCGAAGUCGGUGAGGUAACCUUUUUGGAGCCAGCCGCCUAAGGUGGGAUAGAUGAUUGGGGUGAAGUCGUAACAAGGUAACCAAGGGCGAAUUCGCGGC